CCCGCUGAACUUAAGCAUAUCAAUAAGCGCAGGAAAAGAAACCAACAGGGAUUGCCUCAGUAACGGCGAGUGAAGCGGCAACAGCUCAAAUUUGAAAUCUGGCCCCUCGGGGUCCGAGUUGUAAUUUGUAGAGGAUGUUUCGGGUACCGCCCUGGUCUAAAUUUCUUGGAACAGAAUGUCAAAGAGGGUGAGAAUCCCGUCUUGGGCCGGCGGUAGGGCCUGUGUGAAACUCCUUCGAUGAGUCGAGUUGUUUGGGAAUGCAGCUCAAAAUGGGUGGUAAAUUUCAUCUAAAGCUAAAUAUUGGCCAGAGACCGAUAGCGCACAAGUAGAGUGAUCGAAAGAUGAAAAGCACUUUGAAAAGAGAGUUAAACAGUAUGUGAAAUUGUUGAAAGGGAAGCGCUUGCAACCAGACUUGAGCGCGGUGGUUCCCCCUGGCUUCUGCCCGGGCUACCCCGCCGCGUCCAGGCCAACAUCGGUUCUGGGGGCCGGUUAAAGGCCCUGGCAAUGUAUCUACCCCCGGGUAGACUUAUAGGUCGGGGUGUCAUGCGGCCUCCCGGGACCGAGGAACGCGCUUCGGCUCGGAUGUUGGCGUAAUGGUUGUCAGCGACCCGUCUUGAAACACGG
rnacentral:rRNA from 1 species